AAUGUAUUUGAUGUUGAUCAAGCACCUUUGAUUUUAGUAUUUUUGAAAUGUUAAUUUUAAUAGUGGAUUUGUCUUUUUAGAUUAACAAUUAUGCAUCAACUAAAAAUAUAAUAAAAUAAAAUAAAAAAUAAAACAAUAAAAAAAAAAGUAAAAGAAAUAAUAAAAAUGAGGGGACAUACUAUCAACACAAGAGGUAAAAGAAUUAAAAAAGUUAAAGGAAAUAAAAUAAAGAACAAAAAUAAAUAGAUAAAGCAAUGAUAAUAAAGUAAUAAUAAAAAAAUACAAAAGAUAAAAAUCAGACUGAAAAUUGGGGAUGUAGAUAGAAAAAUGCUCUAAGCGCAAAGGAGAAGGGCCCAUAGAAGUGUGUUAAGCAAUCAAGGGGUGUGAGGAGACUUCAUCUUCC
rnacentral:lncRNA from 1 species